UACGGGAGGCAGCAGUGGGGAAUAUUGGACAAUGGGGGAACCCGUGAUCCAGCCAUGCCGCGUGUGUGAAGAAGGCCUUAUGGUUGUAAAGCACUUUAAGCGAGGAGGAGGCUACUGAGACUAAUACUCUUGGAUAGUGGACGUUACUCGCAGAAUAAGCACCGGCUAACUCUGUGCCAGCAGCCGCGGUAAUACGGAGGGUGCGAGCGUUAAUCGGAUUUACUGGGCGUAAAGCGUGCGUAGGCGGCUUUUUUAAGUCGGAUGUGAAAUCCCCGAGCUUAACUUGGGAAUUGCAUUCGAUACUGGGAAGCUAGAGUAUGGGAGAGGAUGGUAGAAUUCCAGGUGUAGCGGUGAAAUGCGUAGAGAUCUGGAGGAAUCCGAAUGGCGAAGGCAGCCAUCUGGCCUAAUACUGACGCUGAGGUACGAAAGCAUGGGGAGCAAACAGGAAUUAAGAUAACC
rnacentral:rRNA from 1 species